CACCCAACUAGGAAGUGUCUAAGGUCACAUUUGAACCCGGGACCUCCUGUCUUCAGGUAUGGCUAUCUACUGAGCCAUCUAGUUCCCCCCCCCUUUUUUUUUACAUAAAGUGCUUUUCUUAAUGAAAGAAAUUUUAAAGAGAUGUCAGUCAGACUCAAGGUAUGCAGUUCACAAGCAUGGAGGGGAGGGGGAAAAGUCCUAUUUAACCAAGGACCAAGCUGGACUUGCUGCCAGGUAAAUUUGUUUUGUAUGGUGCUGGUUCUGAUGCAGCUGGACUGGGAACAAGUGCAGCCGGCACAGCUUCUUCUUUGUUCUGUCCUAGGUCAACUCUUGAGUCAGCCUCCACAUUCCCAAGAACAUCACCUUCUCUCCUUGGACCUACAGAAGCUCCAGAACCUGUUUCAAAUGGAGCCCAGAUGGUUCAGAAUCAUCUCUACUAAACUGAGGAGUCCCUCCUUAUUUGGCCAAGAAGGUCGAUUUUCUUCAGGUGUUCAGGUACCCAGUGUGGAAAUGAGGAAGAUUGGCAACAGCUCCCAUCAAUAUGGUGCCCUCCACUUGGAACUUCUCUUUGGGCUAGGGAUUUACAAUUUACAGAUGAAGAAACUGAGGCUCAGGAAGUUUGAAUGACAUGUUAGACCCUAACCCCACUCUAUUCUAACUUCAAAUCCAGCAGCAAAGAAGAAAUUCAGUACAUUGAACAAAUAGUCUGGAUUAAAAGGAGUUAACAAAACACAACUGAACAUUGGUUUAUAACUGAACCAACAUUAACAAUAACAUCAGCAACAAAGCUAGGAUAUCCCCCAGAUGAUUAUUGGUUUUCUCAUAAUAGCACCAAAGGACUGUGCAUGGGUGGGAAGAACCAAAUAUGCUUAAGUAGUUUCAGAGAAAGUUGUGCCCCAAGUUCCAGGUGGCAUGGCAGUCUGGUGCUUGGGAGUUGUCAAGCCUAACUUUUUUUAAUCUUUUUUUCCUUUAUUAAAGUUUAUUUCAUUAAUUAAUUUAGAAUAUUGUUCCAUGGCUACAUGAUUUGUGUUCUUUCCCUCCCUUCUUCUUAUCCCCUCC
rnacentral:lncRNA from 1 species